UCCUUUCAUUCUCCCCUGUCCCCUCCCUCCUUUCGCCGUCUCCCUGGCGCUUUGCUCCUCCGCCGCUCGCCGGAGCACCGCCGCGGGCGCUGCCUACUUUCGCCCUUGCCCCGACGCCUGCGCGGGGUCCGCGGCCAACGCGCCGCAGGAGUUCGGGAGUCGGCUCCGUAAGCUCGGGACGCGGUGGAUCGGUGCAGCGGCGGGCGCGGAUCGGAGCGCGUGGGGACGCCGGUAGCGGGCUCCGCAGGGGAAUGUGGGUUCCCGUUUGAGGAGGUCUAGGUCCCGGAAGCUGCGGCGAGAUGAGACGAUCAAGGAGGCCCAUUCUGUUGAGCUGGGGACCGGAAAUCAUGAGUUGAUUUAGUCAUUUUGCUCAGGGUGUUUAGUUGAAGGACCGAUGCCUCCAGGAUAAUGGCAAGGUUGCGCAGGAGUUGUGAUGCAUCACUGGGAGAGGGAGGGUCCUUGAGAGACCCAUUCUUGAAGCACAGAGUAAAGAAGUUUGAUCUAUCUAGCCUAGAUUGGAUUGAUGAGAUUCCAGAUUGUCCUGUAUUUUCUCCGUCAACCCAAGAGUUCGAGGAUCCAGUGGUUUAUCUCAGCAAAAUUGCCCCUGUAGCUGCAAAAUAUGGUAUAUGCAAGAUCAUUUCACCUGUCUCUGCUUCAGUACCUGCUGGCUCUGUACUAAUGAAGGAACUAGGUGGGAUUAAGUUUACAACUAGAGUUCAGCCUCUCCGUCUUGCUGAAUGGUCCAAGGAUGACAAGUUUGCCUUCUUCAUGAGUGGAAGAAAGUAUACAUUUCGGGAGUUUGAGAAGAUGGCAAAUAAAGAAUUUGUUCGAAGAUACUCUAGUGCUGCUUGUCUUCCAUCCAGGUAUAUGGAAGAGGAGUUUUGGCAUGAAAUAGCAUGUGGCAAGAUGGAAUCUGUUGAGUAUGCAUGUGAUAUCGAUGGCAGUGCAUUUUCUUCUUCUCCUGAUGACCAACUUGGGAGAAGCAAAUGGAACUUGAAGACAUUCUCACGGUUAUCCAACUCUACGCUCCGUCUUCUCAGAACAGCAAUUCCAGGAAUAACAGACCCAAUGUUGUAUAUUGGAAUGCUAUUUAGUAUGUUUGCCUGGCAUGUGGAAGACCAUUACUUGUACAGUAUUAAUUAUCACCACUGUGGUGCCUCAAAAACAUGGUAUGGUAUUCCAGGCAGUGCUGCUUCUGAUUUUGAGAAAGUUGUACGUGAGCAUGUCUAUGAUCACGAAAUUUUAUCAUGUGAAGGGGAAAAUGCAGCAUUUGAUGUUCUUUUGGGAAAAACUACAAUCUUCCCUCCAAAUAUUUUGCUGCAUCAUCAAGUUCCAGUCUAUAGAGCCGUACAGAAACCUGGAGAGUUUGUUGUAACGUUUCCCCAAGCUUAUCAUUCUGGUUUCAGCCAUGGUUUCAACUGUGGGGAGGCAGUGAAUUUUGCUACGGGCGAAUGGUUUCCUCUGGGAGCUGUUGCUAGCCAACGUUAUGCCCUUCUGAAGAGGAUACCAGUACUACCUUAUGAGGAGCUUCUUUGUAAAGAAACAACACUUGUCGCCAAUGAGUUUACCAUGUCUGAUCAUGAAGAUAUUACAUUAACCGGUGAUACACAUAUACAGAGCUGUAUGAAGGUACCUUUUGUGCAGUUGAUGCGGUUCCAACACCGUGUUCGUUGGUCGCUUAUGAAAAUGGGUGCUCGCACGCACUACAAAGCAGACAUGGACACAACAGUUCUCUGUGGUAUAUGCAAACGGGACUGCUAUGUAGCUCACAUUAUGUGUAACUGCAGAGCUGAUGCAAUUUGCCUUUGCCAUGAGGAAGAGAUUAGGAAGUGCUCUUGCAGCUGUGAUCGUGUUGUAUUUGUGAGGAAAGACAUCUUUGAAUUGGAGGCAUUAUCAAAGAAGUUCGAGGAGGAAAUUGGGAUACUGGAGGAAGUAGGAAAAUGGAUGUCUCAAAGUGAUGGGUCUAGCACACAUCCUUGCUUGUUCGACAGCAUUAACAACAAUUCUAAAUACUUCCCAUAUUGCAAGAUCCAAAUAGAUGCAUCCCCUAAAAUUCAUACCUUUUCAGAGAUAGACAUGCUUGGAUAUGAUUUGAAUAUGCCAUAUCCUACAGCAUCAACAAUAACUUUUGCUCAAGGACCCCAUGACUAUUCUACACAAAGUGAUGAGUGUACUAGUUCGAACCGAAGAACCUUCUCUAGCUCAUGUCCAGAAAAUGGAACAACUAAUGCUUAUUCUUUAUCUACUCCUGAUGAAGCAUUCUCAUCUGACAAAUUGGUUGCACAAGAUGGUGAUGAUUCUGACUAUGAGGUAUUUAGAGUCAAGAGACGGUCUACCAUAGUUCUGGAGAAAAGAUGUUCAGAAGAUGUAACAACAAAUUUAACUGAGAAUCAGGUUUUGAGACGGUUAAAGAAAGCCCGUUCAGAUGACAGACAAGAGAGGAUGGCAACAGAAGUAUCAUUUGGUACAAGAAGUGACAGUCUGCAUAUUAAAUCACAUUGCAUUGACUCGGUUUCUGGAAACAGAGAUAACUUUGUCAAUGGAACCAAAUUGAAGAUGAUACAUCAGUUAGAUGUAAAUACUGUGGAAGAUGAAGUCCGUUUCAGCCAGAAAUCUAAUGGUUGCAGUUACCAACCCCCAUCUGUAGAUCUUGGGCCAAAACGCUUGAAAAUUCGUGGCCCGUCCAGGCCGUCCUUCCCGAGCACAAUUUCUGAAGUGCAAAUAUCUUACAGAUUCCAGGAGGACAGCGACAUGGCUAGUCAGCACACUCAAUGAAGUAUGCUGCUAUUGGUGCUAACUGCUAACACCAUGCCUCCAACAGAGACACUGUUAUGACUGGAUUAAUGAUUCUAUUACCGGGCCACCUAUGUAGCAUGGGACAUGAAAGCUAUAGGCAGACAGUUUUUCUUACCAUCCUAAGUUGUACAUCUUCACUUAUUUCCAUUUCUUGUAGGUUUUCCACUGUGAAGAGGAAUUCACCACCACUGACUGUCAUGUUGCAUAAGCAACAAAGUAGAUGCUUUGUGAUAAUGCUAAAGGUCAUGGAAAUGCUCGAAUCAAUCAUGUUCUAUGGAAAGUGGGUAUAACAGAAGGAAUAAAGGAGCAAUUCAGUCGCAACUCCUUGCUCUUAGAUCCUUAUCUGCUUAAUCUGUCAUAUAAGAUUUACUUUCUCUUACAAGUAAAAGAAAAGACGGAUUCUCUUUGCUGCCACUCUCCGAUGUCGAUGAUGAUUAACCGCUGAGUGCCGACUGAAGCUUAGUCAAGACCCCAAGGCUGCACUUUGUGCCCGUCCUGUUUUCUAUUCUGCUAUCAUGUCAGCCUCUUCUUCAUGAUAAAAGACUUAAUUCCUAAUUGGCAAGGGCGGAGCAUUAAGGUGAAGAUAUGCUUCAUAUAAACUGCUAAUUGAAGAAAAUAAUCUCCUGAUGGAAUCUAGCAACUCCAUUAUUGCCCACAUAUCACAUAAGACAUUUCUGAAUACAUUGCUGCAUCCAACUGCUCUGAUUGAUUUUUUUUUAAAAAAAUCGAUCGUUGGGACCUC